AGAGUUUGAUCAUGGCUCAGAUUGAACGCUGGCGGCAUGCCUUACACAUGCAAGUCGAACGGCAGCGCGGGGCAACCUGGCGGCGAGUGGCGAACGGGUGAGUAAUAUAUCGGAACGUACCCUGGAGUGGGGGAUAACGUAGCGAAAGUUACGCUAAUACCGCAUACGAUCUAAGGAUGAAAGUGGGGGAUCGCAAGACCUCAUGCUCCUGGAGCGGCCGAUAUCUGAUUAGCUAGUUGGUAGGGUAAAAGCCUACCAAGGCAUCGAUCAGUAGCUGGUCUGAGAGGACGACCAGCCACACUGGAACUGAGACACGGUCCAGACUCCUACGGGAGGCAGCAGUGGGGAAUUUUGGACAAUGGGCGCAAGCCUGAUCCAGCAAUGCCGCGUGAGUGAAGAAGGCCUUCGGGUUGUAAAGCUCUUUUGUCAGGGAAGAAACGGUGGAGGCUAAUAUCCUUUGCUAAUGACGGUACCUGAAGAAUAAGCACCGGCUAACUACGUGCCAGCAGCCGCGGUAAUACGUAGGGUGCAAGCGUUAAUCGGAAUUACUGGGCGUAAAGCGUGCGCAGGCGGUUUUGUAAGUUUGUCGUGAAAUCCCCGGGCUCAACCUGGGAAUGGCGAUGAAGACUGCAAGGCUAGAAUCUGGCAGAGGGGGGUAGAAUUCCACGUAGCAGUGAAAUGCGUAGAGAUGUGGAGGAACACCGAUGGCGAAGGCAGCCCCCUGGGUCAAGAUUGACGCUCAUGCACGAAAGCGUGGGGAGCAAACAGGAUUAGAUACCCUAGUAGUCC
rnacentral:rRNA from 1 species